UGACCUCACCGCACACUCGUACCCGCCCACACACAGAACAGAAGAGGCAAAGCCAGCAAAACUCCAGACAAGAAAAAAAAGAGAGGUAACUGAUGAUUAAAGAGAAUGAUAUUGUCCAAAAUCCUGAGCAUAGUGCUUUGCACACGGAAAACACUAUAAACCGUCUGUAUUCUUCUGCAUAGCCCCCAAGGAAAAACCUGAAACCUAAUCCUGAAACCUCCCUCUGUGCUCCGGAGGGCUGGAGAAUAAUGACAUCGCCACGUUUAUCUUGUCACCAGAAGAAAUCUGAGAUUGUCAAGGCAACCGAUGUUAGGCCAGGCAGUUGUAGUCUGUGUAAUUUGGGGAGCACGAUAUUCAAGCAGGGACAGGUGAACUCAAACGCUUUUGGAAUGUGUGGCACCCACCUGUCUGCUAUGUAGCCGAUGCUCACAGAACCGAUCAAAAAUCCUACGUUCACAGCCGACUGAAACAGGUCCAGCAUCCAGGAGUUGGCGCACACCAGGUUAAACUGCCGGGGGGCGAGAGAGGUACCGAGUCAGGAGAGGAAGAGAACAAAAUCCCGUUAGAUCAUUUCAGCCUGGGGA